UAUUAGGCAGGGAUGGGGUCUCAGUCAAGAUCUAAAAGGGUAAGGAGAAAUCAUUUUUCCUUACAGUUUGGCAACUGAUGAUGGGACCCGCUGAGAUGCCACUCUUGCUCUGGAGCCUACAGAAGCAACCUUCAAGUCCACUCUCCCAAAUCUCUCUACUGCCCCAUGGAGAGAGGACGGAAAAAAUCACCUGUUCUUCCCAUAAUUUAGGUAAGCAGGAAACAAUAUUUGUAUGAACUAGUCGCUUGGGUAUAAAUUCUGGUAAAGAUUGUAUUAUACUCUUGUUUUCUAUUGAUUCCUCUCCUCCCAGAGAAGUUUUCUGUUAUCUCUGUCUUUUGAGUCGUCAUAAGGAGGAAAACCAUAGGCCAGAUGAGGUUUUCCUCCUGUCUUAAGCUUGGCAUUUUGACCAGUUCAAAAAUACUCUGUGGUCUCCACCAGCCAGAGAUGCCAGUAUGGGCUUGUGUGUCCGAUUCCCAACUGAAUAGGCUGGGAAUGAGACACACCAUAUGGAUUGUCUUUUACUGUUGGUCUGCUCCUGAUAAAAUAUUAUGAAGGGUUUUCUACUUUUAUGUAAUUUGCCUAAGAAAGCAAAGAUUUUGUGUUAGUUUACUAAAACAAUUGUGUGCUUCAUGUUACCUUUAUUACCCAGUUUUUGAUUAUUUAAGAAAACCAAGUCUUCUCAAUAGUAAGAGCUAAGUUUUUCUCAUGACUGUGUAACUUUGGUUAAAUAGGUAAUUAAGUAUCCUAUAUAAUAAAAGCCUAAUAUGCAAAUUGUCCCCUUGACCAGGAGUUUGACCUCUCGCUAUGAUGUGUGCUGACCAGCAGGGGCAAUGUGGAGCAUGGCAAGUGUCAGCUGUGCAGCACUGACAGUGGGCAGCAGUGGAGGCGCUGCCAGCCCUGAUGGACACCUAUGAGAGCGGGACUGAGGUGGGAUGGUGGAUCAGAUUGAAGGAAACUUCUUCCUUUUCUCCUAAACCAUCUGUGACUUACACCAAUUUGGUAAGUAACCCUUUGUGAACAAGAUGAAACAAUUACUUAUUUAGCUACCUGAUUCCCCAGAAUUAGGAAAUUCUGAGUAUGAAUUCUUGUUUUCACGAGCACAUAUUUUUUGUGUUAAGUUCAAUAAGAUUCUGUUCUCCUUGUGAAAGGACACAAUUGAAAACAGUGGUUUUAGUACCAAGACUUUGACUAGAACAUCAUAUUUGAAAACGUGUACAGAAUCAUGCAUGACCAGGCAGUUUUAAGGAGUUUUAAUUGAGUCCCUUGGAAAAGCUUCCUGGCACCUUGCUUACUGGGCUCCUGUCAGCCUUAUUGGGUAAGAAAUGAUGGUCACUUUCUGGCAGGUGCAGGAACAUCAGGAUAUAUUGGAGAUCUUGAGAAGAGAGGAAACCCAGACAUAUAGAUUAUUGCAGGUGAAAUUUGAGACCAAGACCUUGGCUUCCUAGCAUUGAGAGGAUUUUAAAAAGUCCUAUCUGAGAUUCCUUAUGAAAAGUUCCAGCAAAGCAGAUUUUUAAAUGCCUGUAUCUGGUCAGUCACUAUUCUUGGUGCAUUUAUUUC